GCAGAUGUGGUUCAGUGGCUAGAACGCGACCUUGCCAAGGUUGAGACGGGAGUUCGAUUCUCCUCAUUUGCUCCA
rnacentral:tRNA from 1 species